rnacentral:rRNA from 1 species
GAUGAACGCUGGCGGCGUGCCUAAUACAUGCAAGUCGAGCGAAUGGAUUAAGAGCUUGCUCUUAUGAAGUUAGCGGCGGACGGGUGAGUAACACGUGGGUAACCUGCCCAUAAGACUGGGAUAACUCCGGGAAACCGGGGCUAAUACCGGAUAACAUUUUGAACCGCAUGGUUCGAAAUUGAAAGGCGGCUUCGGCUGUCACUUAUGGAUGGACCCGCGUCGCAUUAGCUAGUUGGUGAGGUAACGGCUCACCAAGGCAACGAUGCGUAGCCGACCUGAGAGGUGAUAGGCCACACUGGGACUGAGACACGGCCCAGACUCCUCCGGGAGGCAGCAGUAGGGAAUCUUCCGCAAUGGACGAAAGUCUGACGGAGCAACGCCGCGUGAGUGAUGAAGGCUUUCGGGUCGUAAAACUCUGUUGUUAGGGAAGAACAAGUGCUAGUUGAAUAAGCUGGCACCUUGACGGUACCUAACCAGAAAGCCACGGCUAACUACGUGCCAGCAGCCGCGGUAA